rnacentral:rRNA from 1 species
GUGGGGAAUAUUGGACAAUGGGCGCAAGCCUGAUCCAGCAAUGCCGCGUGGGUGAAGAAGGCCUUCGGGUUGUAAAGCCCUUUUGUACGGGAAGAAAUCAUUCGGGGUAAUACCCUGGGUGGAUGACGGUACCGUAAGAAUAAGCACCGGCUAACUUCGUGCCAGCAGCCGCGGUAAUACGAAGGGUGCAAGCGUUAAUCGGAAUUACUGGGCGUAAAGCGUGCGUAGGUGGUUGUUCAAGUCUGUCGUGAAAGCCCUGGGCUCAACCUGGGAAUGGCGAUGGAAACUGGGCGACUAGAGUGCGGUAGAGGAUGGCGGAAUUCCCGGUGUAGCGGUGAAAUGCGUAGAGAUCGGGAGGAACAUCCGUGGCGAAGGCGGCCAUCUGGACCAGCACUGACACUGAGGCACGAAAGCGUGGGGAGCAAACAGGAUUAGAUACCCUAGUAGUCC